CAGAAAAGCACCAGCUACCAGAGUUAUGGACAGAAGUACAAAAAGCAGGUAGAGAUUUUGCAGUUGCAGCUGUGAUGUGUUUGAGGCUUGCCAUUCAAUUUAAUGGGAUUACUGAAAAUGGUUUAAUCUGGGAAUGAAGCAUAUGAAGCAGAAACCAAGAUGCAUAUUUACACUGAG
rnacentral:lncRNA from 12 species